UACGUAGGGGGCAAGCGUUGUCCGGAUUCAUUGGGUUUAAAGGGUGCGCAGGCGGGACAUUAAGUCAGGGGUGAAAGACGGUUGCUCAACAAUCGCAGUGCCUUUGAUACUGGUGUUCUUGGGUAACCUUGAGGUAGGCGGAAUGGGUGGUGUAGCGGUGAAAUGCAUAGAUACCACCCAGAACUCCGAUUGCGAAGGCGGCCUACUGGAGGUCAACCGACGCUCAGGCACGAAAGCGUGGGGAUCAAACAGG
rnacentral:rRNA from 1 species